GAUGAACGCUGGCGGCGUGCUUAACACAUGCAAGUCGAACGAAGCACUUUAUUUGAUUUCCUUCGGGACUGAUUAUUUUGUGACUGAGUGGCGGACGGGUGAGUAACGCGUGGGUAACCUGCCUUGUACAGGGGUAUAACAGUUGGAAACGGCUGCUAAUACCGCAUAAUCCCACAGCAUCCCAUGAUGCAGUGUGAAAAACUCCGGUGGUAUAAGAUGGACCCGCGUUGGAUUAGCUAGCUGGUGAGGUAACGGCCCACCAAGGCGACGAUCCAUACCCGACAUGAGAGGGUGACCGGCCACAUUGGGAAUGAGACACGGCCCAAACUCCGACGGGAGGAAGCAGUGGGGAAUAUUGCACAAUGGGCGAAAGCCUGAUGCAGCGACGCCGCGUGAGCGAAGAAGUAUUUCGGUAUGUAAAGCUCUAACAGCAGGGAAGAUAAUGACGGUACCUGACUAAGAAACACCGGCUAAAUACGUG
rnacentral:rRNA from 1 species